rnacentral:rRNA from 1 species
GACGAACGCUGGCGGCGUGCUUAACACAUGCAAGUCGAACGGAAAGGCCUCUUUCGGGGGGUACUCGAGUGGCGAACGGGUGAGUAACACGUGAGUAACCUGCCCUUGACUUUGGGAUAACUUCAGGAAACUGGGGCUAAUACCGGAUAGGAGCUCCUGCUGCAUGGUGGGGGUUGGAAAGUUUCGGCGGUUGGGGAUGGACUCGCGGCUUAUCAGCUUGUUGGUGGGGUAGUGGCUUACCAAGGCUUUGACGGGUAGCCGGCCUGAGAGGGUGACCGGCCACAUUGGGACUGAGAUACGGCCCAGACUCCUACGGGAGGCAGCAGUGGGGAAUAUUGCACAAUGGGUGGAAGCCUGAUGCAGCAACGCCGUGUGCGGGAUGACGGCCUUCGGGCUGUAAACCGCUUUCGCUCAUGACGAAGCUUUGUGUGACGGUAGUGGGUAAAGAAGCACCGGCUAACUACGU